CAACUCUGUACUCUUCUUCACUACCGUAUAUUCUCACACACACGCUCUUCUCAAGCCGAUGAAGAUGAAGAUGGGUCUUACCUUCAAAUGCAGACAAUGGCGAAGAUCACGCUGGCGAGAAUAAAAUUGCUGAGAAACAAGAGGGAGGUGGUUGUGAGGCAAAUGAGGAGAGACAGACAUUGGUAUGCUUCUUGAAUUCCGUCCGGAUGCCACUGCUCGUAAUCAGCUCGUAGGAAUGGGGAAUUUGGUAUAUCAUGCCUGGUGGUUACUUUCAACAACUCAUUGAUGCAAUUGCUCACUGUCACAGCAAUACCACCGAGAUCUGAAGGUUUGCAAUUGCUGAUUGGAAUAUCUGUUGUGAAGACUAUCUAUCUUACUUAAUCUUUAACUAUUGUUCCUUGUUCCCCAGCCUGAAAAUUUGCUUUUUGAUUUCUAAGGGAACUUAAAAGUUUCUGACUUUGGGCAUUUAUUCAAAUCUCUAACAGGGAGUCAGGGUCAUACCACUUGUGGGACUCCAAAUUAUGUUGCACAUGAGAGAUGUGAUGCAUAUGUAGUUUGAAUUAUUCAGUUACUUCUUAAUAGUUCUUAUGAGUGCAUUCUUCUUGUUUUGCACAUGCAACCUAUCAUUCUUCAUUUGAUUGGCCUGUUAUCCCCCCAAAACCUUGUUAUUAUUUAUACUUUAGAUUGCGAGCUAAGAGGCAAAUAUAUACUUUUACGUUUGUAGUCCUGGUUUAGUAAUUAGUUGUUAUAUUAUUGUCCCAUUCUGAUGUCCACAUUAAUAGCAUCAUCUGAUUUGUUAUGUCUGCAAAGCUUAAAUCAGAAAGAGGCAGGGGGGUGGUUGUCUUCAUUUUAAUUCAUUGAUCUCUUUUUGAUUAGUCAUCAGAACUGAAAAUAUGAUUUUUUUAAGUUUGAUUGCUCAACAUGGAUUAAAAUCCUUUCAAAUUUCCCGGAGCAUGUCUUCUGCUUGUUCCUUGAUUUUAUAAGUGUUCCUUUUCUCAUCUCCUUUUUCUUGAUUAAUUUCUGAAACUACUCACAGAUCAUCAAGAUUGAUGGGAUAAAACGAGACCCGGAACUUCAUUGUUAAAGGUUUGAAUUACUCCUUUGCCCAACUCAAUUUUUGUUCUUUUCUUCUUUUUGUUAUGAAUCUGUCGUGAUCAUCAACAAUAACGGCCUCGGGAGGGACAGGGUAC